UUGCCUACGGGGGGCUGCAGUAAGGGAUAUUGGGCAAUGGGCGAAAGCCUGACCCAGCAACGCCGCGUGGAGGAUGACGGCCUUCGGGUUGUAAACUCCUUUUGUCGGGGACGAGACAAGGACGGUACCCGGCGAAGAAGUCACGGCUAACUACGUGCCAGCAGCCGCGGUAAAACGUAGGUGGCAAGCGUUAUCCGGAUUUACUGGGCGUAAAGCGUGUGCAGGCGGAUGGCCAAGUGGUGUAUGAAAGCUCCAGGCUUAACCUGGAGAGGUUAUGCCAGACUGGCCGUCUUGAGGCAGAGAGAGGGACAUGGAAUUCCGGGUGUAGUGGUGAAAUGCGUAGAGAUCCGGAGGAACUCCAGAGGCGAAGGCGGUGUCCUGGCUCUGACCUGACGCUCAGACACGAAAGCAUGGGGAGCGAACGGGAUUAGAUACCCGGGUAGUCUA
rnacentral:rRNA from 1 species